rnacentral:rRNA from 1 species
GACGAACGCUGGCGGCGUGCUUAACACAUGCAAGUCGAACGGUGAAGCGCCUUCCUUUUUGGUGGGUGUGGAUGAGUGGCGAACGGGUGAGUAACACGUGAGUAACCUGCCCCCUUCUUCUGGAUAACCGCAUGAAAGUGUGGCUAAUACGGGAUAUUCUGGGUCUGUCGCAUGAUGGGUCUGGGAAAGAUAUUGUUUCGGUGGGGGAUGGGCUCGCGGCCUAUCAGCUUGUUGGUGGGGUGAUGGCCUACCAAGGCGGUGACGGGUAGCCGGCCUGAGAGGGUGGACGGUCACACUGGGACUGAGACACGGCCCAGACUCCUACGGGAGGCAGCAGUGGGGAAUAGUGCACAAUGGGCGCAAGCCUGAUGCAGCGACGCCGCGUGAGGGAUGGAGGCCUUCGGGUUGUGAACCUCUUUCGCCAGUGAAGCAGGGCUGCCUCGUUUGUGGGUGGGUUGACGGUAGCUGGAUAAGAAGCGCCGGCUAACUACGUG